rnacentral:lncRNA from 1 species
CCUUUUUGUUUAAGAGGUUUUCGAAGUAUUUGGAGUCAAAAGAAUUUGGGGUUGCCAGGUCUAGGGGUGCAAGGUUGUUGUCUCCUGAUCCGCUGGUUCUUGGGCAGCUACUUCGCCUUGUCUUUGCAAAUGAAGUAUCGAUGAUUGUGUCGUUGUAUAUGCGAUUUCUGAAAACCAAGCACCUCGCCUUCCCAAUUGUGUGAGCUCCUGGCUCAGCAACAUAAAGCAAUUUGGCUUAGAAGAGAUCUAUAGAUAUAAUAAAGUAGUACAGACUGAAGUGCAGGAAAGGAAAGAAUGUUAUAUACUUGUAUUAUACCAGAUAAUGCAACCAUGUCCUUGGUAGAAAGACCUUGCGCUUGGAAUAAGCUGAUGAGUUGGCUAAGAUUGGCACUACCCAGUGGGAGGACACCACUAUUUGCAUCAGAAAAGCUGGCGGUCUUUGAAUCCCUUCUUCCAAGCUUAACAUCCCAGUCGGGCCCUCCAAGCUGCACCAAUCAAACUCAAUUUUCUAUAUUCAUUUGUGACAUACUAAUAUGCAGUAUGUACGUUGGACUGUUCAUUUCAAGUGCUUACAAUAACAACGGAGUCCCGAGCUGCAAUGGCUAAGAUAUCAGCACAUGAGACUACACCAGGACACACUUUCUCCACCUUGGCCUUAAUCUCAUCAACAACUUCGAAACCUCUCAAGGACCCAUUAUUGGGAGUAGCAGUUUGCUCCCCGGUGAAAGAAGAAGUGUCGUCUAGGAGUACUGACCCAUCACAACCCUGUCAUAAUUAAAUAUGAUAAAUACAGGACGUACUUAAUUAAUAACCAUAUAUAUAAGUAUUUCAUUAGUCAUUCACUUGCCCCAUAUGCAAUCCUUUCCCCUUUUGAGUGGUUAAGAUUAAUAUGAGCCAAGGUGCAAAGGCAUUUCAUCAUCAUACAUCAGUACUUAUAUUGGCUCCACAAAUGGAAUUUCUUUAAGUCCGCAGGGAAAAAAACACAUGCAUGCAUGCAUGGUUGGAAAGGUAUUCUGGAUUGAGUUUUAUAUUGAUUACCCCAAAUAUAUAUACAUGAAAUUAAACAUUUGACGGCGCUUUUCAACACGAAACUCCAAUAUAUUAUUAAAUUGAAAGGAAUGAAAAAAAAGUUACUCAAGUUCCGUUGACCAAGAACACUGAAUGUGCUUAUGUGACCAUGUGUAUAUGUAUAGUAAGAAGAUGGAAAGAGAAAGAGUGGAAAUUACGUUGACAAAACAGUCAUGGAAGAACAAGCGGAGGAGAGAAGCACCCAAGCGCUGCUCUUUUGACACAGCUGUUUCAACUACUAACUCAACCGUAGACAACACCUUUGGACAUGAUUUAGAGUAGAAAUUAGUGGAGAGCUGAGCAUAACUACCGCUCCCCAUCAUCAUCCAAACCCCUACAACAAACAAGACACCAAAUGAAGAAGCCAUACUCUCAACUCUGAAUAUGCUUAUAUAUUGUUAUACUUGACAAAUUAUAAUAGAAGAAGAUAAAAAAGUGCAGAGGUGUUUAGAUGAAUGGAUGGUGGUACCAUUAGCCAUUAGGGAUAAUAUAUAUAGGGAUGUGGCACCAUGACACCGGCAAGUCACUAAGGCAUGUUAGUGAAUAAGAUUAUUAAUGAAAGUAUAUCUAUAAAAAUCAAAUUAGUAAUUAAUCCAUGACAGCAAUUCAUCAACCGAUUGAAUUUUCAAACUCAUUGGGGUCCAUGAUUCCUUAAUGCCUUUUGAGUAUUCUCUUAUGUUGAAGACGACACUGCCAUAGCUAGAGGCUUAGGAGACUGAAUUUUGAUUUAGUCAGUCACCUUUUAAAAAGUUGUCACCUCUGCUAAAUCACUUGUUUGUUGGUUUUGUUUUUAUCUAUUGCACCAACAGGGUUGAUGAUGUUCAAAGUGCUGCCAAAGUUUAUCGUCAUCCAAUAACAAUAUCUGUCAUAUGCUAUGUUUUUAUUAAAAACUUCACUUUUAGAUAAAAUAAGAUAAAAUAAAAAUGAUAGUUCAUAUACAGACAAAUAUAUUUAUAUACAAAAUUAAAAAAGCUAAUUUAGUUUAAGGGCUAUACCAUGAAUUAAACUUUCCAUCUUUAAAAGUGGAAUAAAAAAGAAAAGAGAAAGUAAUCAUGCUUAAUCACCUCCUAAUUUUCUCCUAUUCUCAAUCAUAUAAGAAUGGUGAGUGAACUUCAAUCAUACUAGUUACGAAUUUCUAAUUAAGCUAUGUUUAUUCCACAAAAAUUAUUUAUGAAAAAUAACUCUUUAUAUUUUUUCGUGUUUAUUUCAUGGAAAAUAAUUUAACUAAUGAAAAAUGACUUAUAGAUCAAUAGAAAAUAAACCUCUUGAUUUUUAUACUUGGAUCAAGCAUAAUAUUAUUAAUAAAUUUUAAUUUUUAAAAAUAUUAAUAUCAAAUAUUAUAUUCUUAUAUUAUUAAAUAUGCAUAUUUUAUUAUUUAUAUUUAAUAAUAUAAUAGCUUAUUAAUAUAAUUUCUUAUUUUAAUAAACUUCAAUGUGUUAUUAUCCACUCGCAUAAAUGUCAUACAUAACUUCAAAUUAAGUUUUAAUUGUGUAUUAUUUAUUAUUAAGUUUAUAUAAAAUAUAAUUAUUAUAAAAUGAAAUCCAGUUACCAAAAGAAAAUACUUUUAUAAUAUUUCAUAACAAAUAUAAUGUUAUAUUAUGUUUGUUUCACUAAGAACAACUUUUAAAACAUGAUUCCAGUAAAAAUUUUCAAACAACGCAACAUAUUUUACACAUAAUUAUCCAAACAUAACAAAAAUCAAUACAUGUUUUAGAAAUAAUUUUCCUUCCAAACACACCCUUAAAUAAUUUUUUAUCAAUCAAAUCUCCAACAAUAUCAAUUUAAACUUUUGUGGCUGCUUUCUCUUUAUUGUUACCUUUUUACUAUUACUAGUUUCACUUUUCAAAAGGAAAAAGACAAAGGAAAUUUUACUUUUCUUGUGUUUCUACUUUCUAUGCAAUAUCUUCAAUUAUGCAAUAAAAUGUUUCUACCCAAAGAACCAACAAUAAAAAUGUUUAAUUUCUAUUUUCAUCAUAUAUAAAUCACCUAUAGAUUUAUUUAUUUAUUUAUUUAUUUUGAUUAAUUAACUAGUUAUAUUUUUUCCUCACCUUAACUAGUUAAGUUUAAAUUGAGUUAUCAAAAGGUUUUUUUUUUAAUUUGAUACUUGAAUUUAAUUUCAAUAUUCAUUUUGGUACUUGAAGUUUUUUUUUAUCUCAAUUAAAUACCUGAACCUGAGCUAUUUUUGUCCCAAUUAAGUAUUUAAGUUUUUUUUACUAGAGCAGAUGUAUCAAUUAUUUAUUGGGUUUUUUUACCUAGGUACCAAAUUGAAUAUUAAAAUUGAACUUAUAUACCAAAUUAAAACAAAAAAAAAGAAGACUCAAAUGCCAAAAUAAACUUUAAAACCAAACUUACAUAUCAUAUAUAUAUAUAUAUAAUAUCUAACAAUGUACGAAAGCAUGAUAUCGGACAGGUGUUGCAUCUUUUAUUUAUUUAUUUAUUUUCUAUAUAUAAUAGGAGGAUAAUGUGCUUCAACGUACUCAAAUCUACGUCCUUCUGCAUUGACAAUAAUAUUAAUAUCAAUCGACAAACUUAUCACAUAUUUUCAAGGAAGGUAGAGCUGGUUGUUUAGGUGUCUAAUCUUGCAGCGUUUGCCUAUCCAUAUGGUACAUACCGAUGGACCCCUUAGCUUCGAAAUUUCCACGUCCAUAUUGUUUGAUACUUUAGACUAAUUAAACAAUAUAUAAAUCUAUUUAUUUUUGUUGAGCAAUCAAUCCUUAUCUUUGCUCCCUUAGUUGAAGGCUACUUGGAUUUGAUAUGUACAAUAUUUACAUUUUUUUUACUAAUUUUAGUAAAUUAUAUUGAUUUUUAAAAAGUGUAAUACAUGUCACAAAAAUAUUAAGAUUUGGAUCCAAUUUCUGUAGUUGAUGCAUGAACGAUGAUUGACAAAGUCGUGGGAACAAUACGGUAGGUGUGUUGCUUGAAGAUUUUGGACAAAAUGUGGAUCACAUUAAUAAUCAUAGAAUUAUUUUGAGAUAAAGCAAUUGUUUUGUAUUUAAUGAUUUAGGAUUUGCUUUGAAUGUUAGAUAUUAUAUUUAAUGAUUUUGUCUUUUUGAGAUCUUAUUUUAUUUUUAUAUUAUUUUUAAGGAUAAAUUACUUUUGUUUGUUUCAGAUUAUAUUUUAAUUACUUAUGUUUUGACAUGUUACGUUUUAGUCACUUACGUUAUUGUUUGUUACGAAAUGGUCACUCUACCGUUAAACUCCAUUACCUCUCUAACGGUAGUCCUAUGUGGCAGUUCAAAUGAGUUUUAAAUGCCAACUUGGAUGUCCAGUUGUUGGGAUGAAAAUAGGUUUUUAAUUAAAUAAAUUUAAUUUGGACGGUCACGUAGGACAUACAAGUUAGCAUUUAAAACCUGUUUGGAUUGCCAUGUAGGACCGCCGUUAGGUGGAGCUUAACGGUAGAGUAACCACUUUGUAACAAAACGAUAACGUAAGUGACUAAAACAUAACAUUUCAAACAUAAGUGACUAAAAUAUAAUCUAAAGCAAACAAAAUUGACUUUUUGUAGUUUACCCGUAUUUUUAUUAUUUUGCAGAGAAAGUUAGGGUAGAAUUCCUUUUUAGUCCUUAUAAAUAAAGAACUCGGCACUUCCCAAGGUGGGAGGAGGCUUUGUAAUAUAUUUCUUUGGUUAAUAUUGUUUUGGCAUUUACAAAAAAUUAUGAGUAAUUAAUUUCCAUUUAUCUAGCCGAAGUUAUAUUUUUUUAGAAUUGUAAGAUUGAAGUGUUUUUCAAUAUUCUUUUAUUUAAUUUAUAUUUUUUCAUUCUCCAUUUUAUGGGAUGGUUCGUGCCAUCUCUUAUUACUAUUAUUAUCGUUUCAAGUAGGAUUUUGUAAUAUCUUAUAUCGGAUAUAGAAGUUAAAUCGAAUAAAGAGUGUCACAUUAGUUGUCGAAGCAAUAAUGAUUAAUCAUUCAAAUAUCUAAAACGUAUUUAUAUUGAAGUUUUAAUCAUGCAAAUAAUCUAUCCAACAUCUAUAAAACAUUACAAACCAAAAAUGAACUCAAAAGGACCUUAAAACGUUAAAUUGGAUGUUGGAUUAAAAUCUUCAAUUAUGGACGCAUAUGUAUAAUGUAUAAUGCUAUUAUAAAGUGUGAUAUAAAAUUAAGUGACCAAUUAUGUUAAAAGUGUCAUGUGUAUUAAAGUGUCAUGGAAAUAAUGUAUAGAUACCAUACGUUGUAUUUAUAAUUUGAUGAGGGGCCAAAUUAUAAAUAUCAAAAUUGAUUUAAUAAUAAGCUAUUUAAAAAGAGGUAGUGGUACCUAGAGGUGCUCAUGGGCCGGGCCGGGCCCAAAAAAAUUUUGGCUCGCGUCCUAGGCCCGAGCCCUGCCCGGCCCGAAAUAUGGGCCCAAAAUUUUGUCUUGGCCCAGCCCGGGAAAAAAUUCCUAAGCCCGAGCCUGGCCUGGCCCGGCCCGCCUCAUUUUUUUAAUAAACACCAAAAAUUUAUUUUAAAAAUAAAAAAAGUAUUUUAAAAUAAAAAAUAAAUAUUUAUUAUAUUCGGGCCGGGCCCAGGCCAAAAAAGUGAUGCCCGAGGCGAGGCCUGUUUUCUAAACGGGCCUCGUUUUUUGCCGAAACCCAUAUUUCGAGCCUAUAUUUUUACCCGAACCCUCCCAUAUUUCGGGCGGGCCGGGCGCACCUCUAGUGGUACCCAAGAAAUAGAUAUAUAUCUCGUAUUUGUUUUUAUCUCUUUUAGAGGGUUAAACAAUGAGAUAAACUAUUUUCUUGGAAAAUCAAAACCUUUUAGGCAAUCUCCAACCAUGGAUUCAAGUACGUUUUCGCAUUUAGUUUUGUUCUUAAUUUAUUCUUAAUAAUCUGAUAUGACAGAUCCUAAUUUAUUAAAUUUUUAUAUUAGAUCUUGUUUUACAAUUCUAACAUUAGAAGCUCAAAAUUUAAAAACUAGAGCCAAUUCUCUAUACUUGGGUCAAUGUAUCAAGACAUGGUCUUAUAUCGUGAGACACAAAGACCAUGUCUCAAGACUAAUCUCCCGUGAAACUAAUUUAGUUGAUGACUUCAAAUGUCUCGACUUGCUUAUCAUGUCUUAAGACAUCAUCCUAUAAUGAGACAUGUUUGUCUUGUCUAAAGACUCAAGCCUACUUAGAAUUGCAGAAAAAUAAGACUCAAAUGCAACCUGACAUGCUCCAAAAUGCAUUCUAAUAUAUUGACACAAAGCCAUUACCAACAUAUUUGCCAUAUCAUAACAAGUUCGAAACAAAUGCAAAUCUUGAUCAUCUUUGUUGUUGCUUGUAUCAGUUUAUCCGUGUGCGUGGGAUUGUUUGAAUACCUAAGAAAAAUGUACUCAUUGUGCUUAAUAGCUGGCUAGGCUAAGAGAAAACACAAAAUUCAUUAAUUUGCAUCAAAACAGACGCAUCAUUGUUCCUUCUGGAACUCAUCAAACAUUAGCAUGCUUUCUCUUUUCCACUUAAUUUUAUUUUGUUGCAAUCAAUUAUCUUUCUUUUGUUGUUGGAUUCAUAACGAACGGCAAGUACAGUUUUUUCUUCGUAACUUUCCGACCUCCUACGACCAUACAAAUAAAGAAGCAAACUGUGUAGACUAGACAAGUCCUCAGUUAUUGGGGCAAAGCAAUGGAGGAAGAGCCAUUAAUUAGGCUUCCUGCAAUGCUUCCUGAUUUCACCAUUUGAUCCGGUGAGUGGGGUAAUAUCUCCCAUCUUUAUCAUUGCAGUAACGAAGUCUGAAUAGAACUUCUUGGUGUUGCUGCUGUAUGUUUUAACCAAUGAGUCGGUGGAUCCGCCAUUGAAGAGUAUUUGGUCCGAGUGGAGCAAACCCUUUUUGUUUAAGAGGUUAUUGAAGUAUUUUAAGUCAAAAGAAUCUGGGGUUGCCACGUCUAGGGGUGCUAGAUUGUUGUCCCCUGAUCCGCUGGUUCUUGGGCAGCUACUUUGCCUUGCCUUCGCAAAUGAAGUAUCGAUGUUUGUCUCGUUGUAUAUGCGACCUCUGAAAAGCACGCACCUUGCCUUCCCAAUUGUGUGAGCCCC